AUUCGGGGAUGCAGCAUACUUGGAGGCAGAUUUUUAAUAAUCAUUCGAUCUAGUGCACAAAUUGACUAUGAGUAAUUCAUCUUAAAACCAAAGUCUUUUUUACUGGCUCACUGUUCCUACCUGGAACACCCCAUCUUUGCUUCUGUGAUGCCUUUUCAUUCCUCUCCUUCCCAAUGCAAUCUACUCUAGGUGACACGAUGGCCUCUACUCCCUUGGGACUUGGACACCAGCCAUGUUGCCAUGUUGAUUCUAGUCUGUCAAGUGGGCCAAGACGGCUGCAGCUUCCUUGAUCUAGGGCUGUGUUGGACGGUUAGCAUAGGGGGAACUCGUGAAGGACUCCAAGACUACAGCUUUCUGAGGCCCAGCCUCCUGAAAUGGAAAAUACCAACAAUGGAAAACACCAGGAUUCUGUAUUUAACAAAAUCACCGCAGGUUGCCUGGUGCUGGUUUAGAAACCAUGGCUUAGGUGGAACCCCUCCAAGAGCACGGAGCAGGAGGCACGCUCCGCAGCUGCUGAGGAGACAGAUGUGCACUGUAAAUAAAUGGGCCACGGAGGAGAAAAGCGCCCCCCUUCAGAGCUGUUGAGCUGGGGAGAGGUGCUGGGAAAGCCUGGAGUCUGUUUUUGCCAGUAAGUCCUUGAGUUUAGGUAUGGAAGCUGGAAAAAGCCCCGACUGGAGCAGGCUCAGCAGAGUCAGCUGUGUGACCUUGGGCAAGCCGUGCCCCAUCUCCUGGCCUCAGUUUCCCAUCUGUAAAAUGGGAGUGCAGGCUGGUUGAUCUCUAAGGUGUUUCUACGACACCUGGGCACUUACCUACCAUCCUUUUUGAUGGGGACGUGCUGCAAUUCUAAGUGUGCUCCUUUAUCUUAAUGUUUUCAUAGAAUGCUUUACAGACCCAGUGCUUGUCGCAUGGAACCUGUUCUAGUCACAUCAUUCCCCCUCCCGCCCUCAAGCUGUGUGACUGCCCACAGCACUCAGAGCAUUCCGAGAAGAUUCUUGGGCUGGAAAAGCAACUUCCAAGAAGGUGAGAUCUAGGGAAGAGAGAAGUCUAGAUGGCAGAGGCUUGCGGAAGGAGAGGUGGUUUGGUUUGUCUCCUACGGGACAUCUCUGUUCCAGGUGAGGGUAAUUCUACCUGCUGCCCGCUACUGCGGAAGGUGACCAGAGAAGACUCCUUCGCUGGCAAAGACAGAAGGUUUUCCAGUGACCGUGCUCACCUGGCCCUGGGUCAUGGCUGCUGUUGGCAGGGGAGGCAGGUAACGGCCAUCACAGCUGGCACCGGCGUGGGCUGCUCAGGCCCCAGGCAGGCCCGGGACAGGAGGCCCAGCAAGGCAAGGGUGCAGGAGAAGCAGCAGCAUCUCAUGGGCUGGAAGUGAUCAAGUGUUCACCACGACUGGAAUGGAACCAAAAGAAAACAGUUUCAGUAAAAGAGCCAAUGCUGAGGAACCAAGAAAAGGUUUUACUGGGCUGUUGUUGUUAGGGUCAAUUCAAUUCAGUGGAGGGAUGGUUACUGAGUACCUCCUACGAGUCAGAAACUGAGCCCAGCUUUAGGAAUUCAAAGAUAAACAGGGCACGGUCCGUUCUUUAGGUGUUCAUAAUCUGGUAAAGACGUUCUCCGGAGGAUGGCAUAUCCCGUGUCUUUCCAGCGGGGACAGCACAGCGUGGGGCCGGGGGAGCUUUACAGGGUCUCGGGCAGCAGGAGAGGAAGGUAGAGAAGGUGACGUGAGUAGGACUUUGCUAGGAGAAGAAGGGAGUGGACAGGCCUUCCCAGCAGAAGAGACACAAUUAGCAAAGACAAGGAGGUGUGUAGAAAUGUGGUGUCUUUGGGAACCGAGAGGAGGUUGGGGGCAUGAAGGGUAAUAGGUACACAGCGGGGAGAGGGGGUCAGAGGGGUACAGUUUCAGAUUUCAGACCUCGCUGGGGAGCGAGCUGGGCUUAGAGUGUGUGUGUGGGUGUGUAUGUGUGUGUGUGUGUGUGUAAGAGCUUUAGCACAUGGAGUCUCUUGUUAAAUACUCACAUUUGUGUUUGAGAAAUACCAUCCUAGAGAAAACACAGAGGACGAGUGGGCAGAGGGCAGGAACGGAGCUGGGAUCAUAUUAGGAAGUUAGCGGGGGGAAGGGAGGUGGUCGAAAGGCCAGGUCACCCGUGUCCGGAUGUGGCCAGUUGUGAAAGGGAGGUGCGAAAAAUCAUUCUUGGUUUUCUGGCUGGAUCAAGGGACUCCAGAGCUGCCGCCCCCAACCCCGCCAGCCCCCGACCCCUCACCCUUCACCCCCUCCCGCCCCCUCCUCUAAGUCUGUAUCCGUUGGGCCGGGGGCACCUGCUCUCUGCUUCCCCAACACGCAGGCCAGAUGACUUGGAAACAGAUGACUUGAAGGAACAGAGAGUUCGGAGAGGCGCCCAUCAGAGGAAAGUACUUAAAAAUAAACUUGGGCAAAACUCUUUUCAGAACUGUGUAUUAUUUAGGACUAUUCAUCUGGAAAACAAGUAAGUGCAUAUGUAUAAAGGGGACCGUUACCCACGUACUGAAAUGUACGCCGAAACUCUGCGACAGAUCCCAGAGCACACCUCGCUGCGACCAUCCUGCCGGGCUAGAAAUGUGGGCAACGCUGCCAGCACCCCGGAAGGAAGCCCCUUCCCGUUCAGACCCCCCUUCCCUCUGCCCCCCCCCCCCCCCCCCCCCAGGGGCCCCNNNNNNNNNNNNNNNNNNNNCAGAUGCCAACCUGUAACUCGCAGAAACAACCCCAGGAGAACCACAUCCUCACGAAAGAACCUGAAAAGACACCGCGCAUUUGGAAAUUGCGUCAAUUAAAAAAAAAAAAGUAACAAAAGUCCAUCUUCCUCAUUUUCCU
ensembl:lincRNA